GCCCGGAUGGCCUAGUGGUAAGGCGUCGCACUCGUAUCACCAACGGUAUGCGAAGAUCGCCAGUUCGAUCCUGGCUCAGGGCA